rnacentral:rRNA from 1 species
AUAAGAUAUCAAGGGCAACAGGUGAAUGCCUUGGCGCUGAGAGGCGAUGAAAGACGCGGUAAGCUGCGAUAAGCAUCGGGGAGGAGCUAAACAUCCUACGAUCCGAUGAUUUCUGAAUGGGGAAACCCGAUGGGAGUCAUGUCCCAUCAUCCUGAGCUGAAUAUAUAGGCCCAGAGAAGCCAACCCGGGGAAGUGAAACAUCUAAGUACCCGGAGGAAGAGAAAUCAAACGAGACUCCCAAAGUAGCGGCGAGCGAAAUGGGAAGAGCCCAAACCGGGUGGUUUCGACCAUUCGGGGUUGUAGGGCCGGCAUACGCGAUUCUGGAGUAGGCAGAGGAAGUGAGCUGGAAAGCUCCGCCACAGCGGGUGAUAGCCCCGUACUCGAAACCGAAAAGGACGCAGCCGGUACCUGAGUACUGCGAGGCACGUGGAACCUCGUGGGAAUCUAGGGGGACCAUCCUCUAAGGCUAAGUACUCCUCAGCGACCGAUAGUGAACUAGUACCGUGAGGGAAAGGUGAAAAGAACCCCUGUUAGGGGAGUGAAAUAGAAUCUGAAACCUGUUGCCUACAAGCUGCGAGAGCUGCUUUUUGCAGUGAUCGCGUGCCUUUUGUAUAAUGAGUCAGCGAGUUACUCUACCGUGCGAGGUUAAGCGAAAGCGUAGCCGUAGUGAAAGCGAGGCUUAAUAGGCCGACUAGUACGUUGGAGUAGACCCGAAACCGGGUGAUCUAUCCAUGAGCAGGUUGAAGCAAGGGUAAAGCCUUGUGGAGGACCGAACCGUCAACGGCUGAAAACGUUCCGGAUGACUUGUGGAUAGGGGUGAAAGGUCAAUCAAACCCGGAGAUAGCUGGUUCUCCCCGAAAUAUAUUGAGGUAUAGCCUCGGGAAUUGAUUAGCGGAGGUAAAGCACUGACAGAGCUAGGGGUCCUACCAGAUUACCAAACUCUAUCAAACUCAGAAUGCCGCUUAAUUGUAUCCCGGGAGUCAGACGGCGGGUGCGAAGGUUCGUCGUCAAAAGGGAAACAGCCCAGACCAACAGCUAAGGUCUCCAAAUCCAUGCUCAGUGGUGAAGGUAGUGGAACCGUUUAGACAGCCAGGACGUUGGCUUAGAAGCAGCCAUCAUUUAAAGAAAGCGUAAUAGCUCACUGGUCUAAUGGCUCUGCGCCGAAAAUGUAACGGGGCUAAGCAUGGUACCGAAGCUUUGGCAAUCUCCUUUGGAGAUUGGGUAGGGGAGCGUUCGCUGCGGGCUGAAGGUGUGUCGGAAGGCAUGCUGGACUGCAGUGAAGUGAUUAUGCUGACAUGAGUAACGAUAAAAUAUGUGAAAAACAUAUUCGCCGAAAACCCGAGGUUUCCUGGGUAAAGGUAAUCUUCCCAGGGUUAGUCGGAUCCUAAGGUGAGGGUGAAAGCCGUAACCGAUGGAAAACAGGUUAAUAUUCCUGUACUUGUUGUGUAGCGCGAUGGAGGGACGCAGGAAGAUAGGCGGGCCGGGUGUUGGAUAUCCCGGUGCAAGCGUGUAGGAAUAUCCGGUAGGCAAAUCCGCCGGACGAAUCUGAGACGCGAGUCCGUGGGCGCAAGCCCUGAAGCCGUUGAGUCUAUGCUGCCUAGAAAAGCUCCUAAGUUUAUCCACAGCAAUCCGUACCGCAAACCAACUCAGGUGGGUGGGAUGAACAAUCCAAGGCGCUCGAGAGAACUCUGGCCAAGGAACUCGGCAAAAUAACCCCGUAACUUCGGAAGAAGGGGUGCUCUCUAGGGUGACAUGUUUAACAUAUGAAGCCCCGGGGAGCCGCAGUGAAUUGGUGGUGGCGACUGUUUACUAAAAACAUAGGUCUGUGCGAAGUCCUAAAGACGACGUAUACGGACUGACGCCUGCCCGGUGCUGGAAGGUUAAAAGGAGGGGUCAGCGCAAGCAAAGCUCCGAAUUGAAGCCCCAGUAAACGGCGGCCGUAACUAUAACGGUCCUAAGGUAGCGAAAUUCCUUGUCGGGUAAGUUCCG